GAUGAACGCUGGCGGCGUGCCUAAUACAUGCAAGUCGAGCGAACGGACGAGAAGCUUGCUUCUCUGAUGUUAGCGGCGGACGGGUGAGUAACACGUGGAUAACCUACCUAUAAGACUGGGAUAACUUCGGGAAACCGGAGCUAAUACCGGAUAAUAUUUUGAACCGCAUGGUUCAAAAGUGAAAGACGGUCUUGCUGUCACUUAUAGAUGGAUCCGCGCUGCAUUAGCUAGUUGGUAAGGUAACGGCUUACCAAGGCAACGAUGCAUAGCCGACCUGAGAGGGUGAUCGGCCACACUGGAACUGAGACACGGUCAAGACUCCUACGGGAGGCAGCAGUAGGGAAUCUUCCGCAAUGGGCGAAAGCCUGACGGAGCAACGCCGCGUGAGUGAUGAGGGUCUUCGGAUCGUAAAACUCUGUUAUUAGGGAAGAACAUAUGUGUAAGUAACUGUGCACAUCUUGACGGUACCUAAUCAGAAAGCCACGGCUAACUACG
rnacentral:rRNA from 1 species